rnacentral:rRNA from 1 species
UGAUCAUGGCUCAGGACGAACGCUGGCGGCGCGCCUCACACAUGCAAGUCGAGCGCGGGGCUUCGGCUCCGAGCGGCGGACGGGUGAGUAACACGUGGAUAACCUGCCCACCGGACCGGGAUAACUCUGGGAAACCGGGGCUAAUACCGGGUACGGUCCUGGCGCGGCAUCGUGCUAGGAGGAAAGGCACCGCAAGGUGUGCUGGUGGAUGGGUCCGCGGGCCAUUAGGUAGUUGGUGAGGUAACGGCUCACCAAGCCUGCGAUGGCUAGCCGGCCUGAGAGGGUGGACGGCCACACUGGGACUGAGACACGGCCCAGACUCCUACGGGAGGCAGCAGUGGGGAAUUUUGCGCAAUGGGGGAAACCCUGACGCAGCGACGCCGUGUGCGCGAAGAAGGCCUUAGGGUUGUAAAGCGCUGUCGGUGGGGACGAAGUCCGAGGGGAAGACCCUCGGGUGACUGUACUCACGGAGGAAGCCCCGGCUAACUACGUGCCAGCAGCCGCGGUAACACGUAGGGGGCGAGCGUUGUCCGGAAUUACUGGGCGUAAAGGGCGUCUAGGCGGUUUGGUGCGUCCUUAGUGAAAGCAGCCGGCUCAACCGGCUGUGGUCUAGGGAAACGGCUGAGCUUGAGGGCAGGAGAGGGAAGCGGAAUUGCCGGUGUAGCGGUGAAAUGCGUAGAGAUCGGCAGGAACACCCGUGGCGAAGGCGGCUUCCUGGACUGUACCUGACGCUGAAGCGCGAAAGCGUGGGGAGCGAACGGGAUUAGAUACCCCGGUAGUCCACGCUGUAAACGAUGGGUGCUAGGUGUGGCGGGUAUCGACCCCCGCCGUGCCGGAGCUAACGCACUAAGCACCCCGCCUGGGGAGUACGGCCGCAAGGCUGAAACUCAAAGGAAUUGACGGGGGCCCGCACAGCGGUGGAGCAUGUGGUU